rnacentral:rRNA from 1 species
UACAGAGGGGGCAAGCGUUAUUCGGAAUUAUUGGGCGUAAAGGGCGCGUAGGCGGCUUUGCAAGUGGCGGGUGAAAUCCCUCGGCUUAACCGAGGAACUGCCUGUCAAACUGCAUGGCUUGAGACCGGGAGAGGUGAGUGGAAUUCCCAGUGUAGCGGUGAAAUGCGUAGAUAUUGGGAGGAACACCAGUGGCGAAGGCGGCUCACUGGACCGGUACUGACGCUGAUGCGCGAAAGCUAGGGGAGCAAACGGG